GCCAGCAUUGUAUAGUGGUUUGGAUGUUGGACUAUGGCUCAGGAGACUAGGGUUUGAUUCCCUGCUUGGGCA
rnacentral:tRNA from 1 species